UAACAGAGAUAUCAUCUGCCAGAUUGC
rnacentral:piRNA from 1 species